UUUUUUUCUUGUGUAGGGCGUAGAUAACUACUCCAUAUAUUUAUUCUAUAUUAUUUACAAUGAACUUAAAAGAAGAAGACAACUAAUCUGGAGGAAUUGAUUACACUCUAUAAAACAUCCAAGGAAAAUGUUGACUUUAAUAUCGAUUUUGACAGAAAAAAUGAUUCCAUCAACGACAACAAUGAAGAGAUUGACGGAAGCUAUACAUAUAAAAUUAUAUCAACUUUUUCCUCUUCGGAUUCAGAUACUAACCUUAUACCUAUGUUAAAUGGAAAUGAUGAUGGAUGAUUAACUCUUUCAGCUACAAUGUGUAAUGCAUUAGUUCCUCUAAUUCAGCUAAUUUAUCUGGAUGUGAUUGCCUCUCGUCAAUCGGAAGUAUUUCAACUCUAUUUCCGUCUAGAUCAGCCAUCACGUCCUUAAACAUAAACCUCCAGUAUCUGUCUAACACUGAUAUUAGCUCCGCUUAAUUGUCUAUACCAUCUUUAUCUUCCCUUUAUGUUGUCAGGGUGGAACAAGGCAAGCAAAUGUAGUGGAAGUCCUUAUUCUCACUAUCUAGCAAUUAUACAGCAAGAUCUCCUUCAGCCAGACAAGUGUGCUGAGUUGCCAAAAAAGUUUUUUUCAUUACCCUCCCUUCACCACUAUCUUCUCAAACAGUGGGUAAGUUGGCAAACUCUUUGAGAAAGGACAAACCAGUGGAAUUUUGCUUUUUUGAAAUUGUCAUUUCAAAACUGUCAUUCAAGGAAUUGUCUGUUUGUUCAUUUGGGAAAUAGUCUUGGAACCCUGAAGACCUGCUUCUCUAAAAUUUAUUUUUGUGAACUUGUAGUCUUUCAUAGUAAAUUUUUGUUGAAACUUCUGUCCUCCAACUUCAAAAUCCUACCAAUGAUGAAAUAACAAACUAUUGUUUGUCGUUUCAUUUAUCUAUUUUUUUCUUACUGUUUAUUAAAUUAAUGUUGCUUGAUCA
rnacentral:lncRNA from 1 species